CCUACGGGAGGCAGCAGUGAGGAAUAUUGGUCAAUGGACGAGAGUCUGAACCAGCCAAGUAGCGUGAAGGAUGACUGCCCUAUGGGUUGUAAACUUCUUUUAUAUGGGAAUAAACUGUUCCACGUGUGGGAUUUUGUAUGUACAAUAUGAAUAAGGAUCGGCUAACUCCGUGCCAGCAGCCGCGGUAAUACGGAGGAUCCGAGCGUUAUCCGGAUUUAUUGGGUUUAAAGGGAGCGUAGGUGGAUUGUUAAGUCAGUUGUGAAAGUUUGCGGCUCAACCGUAAAAUUGCAGUUGAAACUGGCAGUCUUGAGUACAGUAGAGGUGGGCGGAAUUCGUGGUGUAGCGGUGAAAUGCUUAGAUAUCACGAAGAACUCCGAUUGCGAAGGCAGUUCACUGGACUGCAACUGACACUGAGGCUCGAAAGUGUGGGUAUCAAACAGGAUUAGAUACCCCUGUAGUC
rnacentral:rRNA from 1 species